rnacentral:rRNA from 1 species
AGAGUUUGAUCAUGGCUCAGGAUGAACGCUGGCGGCAUGUCUAAGGCAUGCAAGUCUAUCCCGCCGCAAGGCGAGAGGCAAACGGGAGAGUAACACAUUGGUAACCUACCUCGAACUCGGGUAUAACCCAGAGAAAUUUGGGACAAUCCCCGAUAGCCAUGGGGGGACAUAUGUCAUUCCCAUGUAAAGUUCCGACGGUUCGAGAGGGGCCUAUGGCUCAUCAGCUAGUUGGUAGGGUAACGGCCUACCAAGGCAACGACGAGUACCGGGUGUGAGAGCAUGACCCGGCCCACUGGGACUGAGAACUGCCCAGACACCUACGGGUGGCUGCAGUCAAGAAUCUUCCUCAAUGGCCGAAAGGCUGAAGGAGCAAUGCCGCGUGAUCGAAGACGCCCCUCGGGGUGUAAAGAUCUUUUCUGAGGGAAGAAUCCGUGACGGUACCUCAGGAAUAAGUCACUGCUAACUUCGUGCCAGCAGCAGCGGUAAUACGAAGGUGGCGAGCGUUAUCCGGAUUAAUUGGGCGUAAAGCGUCCGCAGGUGGUUUGUAAAGUCUUCGGUCAAAUCCUGAAGCUCAACUUCAGGGCUGCCGUAGAAACUCACAAGCUAGAGGGUGGGAGAGGCAAGCGGAAUUACCGGUGUAGCAGUGAAAUGCGUUAAUAUCGGUAAGAACACCAAAUGCGAAAGC